AUGUCUAGCUUGUUUUUAACCUACAAACCAAGAAGUAAGUGUGACAUCAACCUGUACAAGACGGAGACUCACUCUGUCACUGAGACAGUGCAGUGGUGCUAUCACCCUUACUGCAGCCUCGACUUCCCAGGCUCAAUCAGUCCUCCUACCUCAGGUUUCCGAGUAGCUGGGACCACAGGCACGUGCCACCAUGCCCAGGAAGAAAAUUCAACAAACUGGCAUGAGGAAACGAUUAAAAUGUCCAGGGUAAGAAGGCUUCAGACCCAGCUGGAUCCAGGAGCUCAAACAGGGACACUGCAGCCUUGUGUUAUUUUCUCUGUCUCCAUCUCUUGACUGCAUUCUCUACCUUUUCAUUGAUUUUAAAAAGGCCCUCUCCUGGUGGUUGUAAGAUGGCACUAAAUUAAAAUCCCAUGCCUUUCACAUUAAAUUCAGUGCAAAAGGGUGUAAGUGCUCUUGUCCCAGAAAUCCCACAAAAAGUCUCAAGAUUCACCCUGAUUGGACUACCUUGGGGCAUUUAAGUAACAUGCUUACCUCUGACCAAGCUCUGUGGCACUGUGUCCACAGAAACGGGGGUGCUGGUUGACUUGGGUCUGGGCCACUGGCUCCAAUCCUAGGGCAUGGAGCCCUAUCUCAGCAUGUGAAUGGAGAGGGGCGGUUGGAAGCUAGACCCCCAGGGACAAAUCAGGGCUUUUGCCUGGCAAUAAGUGGACCAAUCUACGUGAGAGACAAGCUACCCAAAUCCGCUACAAACAAUCUCUGCAGCUUCAGUCAACUGGAGGAAGAGGAAGAACACCGCUAGCUGACAGGUUGUCAUGCUGCAAACAGGUGAGGUUACUGUCAGACCACAGAAAACCUUCUAGAAAAGCAUCCAGUCUGGAGCCCCAUUGUGCCAAGAGCUAGUCCCUUACCUGUCUGGGGCUUCAGCUCCUCCUCUGCCACUUCCUGGACAGUCAUGGGUAACUCACUAAACCUCUCUAGGUCUCAGCCACAUUGAUAAUUUUAUUGUCU
rnacentral:lncRNA from 13 species